UCUAAAUUUCAAUUCAAAUGCAUGUGAAAGAAUUCCCUUUUUAAAUGGGUCCCAAAGAAGAAUGGUAUGCUGGGGGAGCAUUUGCGAUCGCAGUUAUGCUAGUGACAGGAAGUUACGAUGAAAGAUAAAA